AUUGAACGCUGGCGGCAGGCCUAACACAUGCAAGUCGAGCGGAUGAAGAGAGCUUGCUCUCUGAUUUAGCGGCGGACGGGUGAGUAAUGCCUAGGAAUCUGCCUGAUAGUGGGGGAUAACGUUCCGAAAGGAACGCUAAUACCGCAUACGUCCUACGGGAGAAAGCAGGGGACCUUCGUGCCUUGCGCUAUCAGAUGAGCCUAGGUCGGAUUAGCUAGUUGGUGAGGUAAUGGCUCACCAAGGCGACGAUCCGUAACUUGUCUGAGAGGAUGAUCAGUCACACUGGAACUGAGACACAGUCCAGACUCCUACGGGAGGCAGCAGUGGGGAAUAUUGGACAAUGGGCGAAAGCCUGAUCCAGCCAUGCCGCGUGUGUGAAGAAGGUCUUCGGAUUGUAAAGCACUUUAAGUUGGGAGGAAGGGCAGUAAGUUAAUACCUUGCUGUUUUGACGUUACCGACAGAAUAAGCACCGGCUAACUUCGUGCCAGCAGCCGCCGUAAGAC
rnacentral:rRNA from 1 species